GAUGAACGCUAGCGGCAGGCUUAAUACAUGCAAGUCGAGGGGCAGCAGGACUGUAGCAAUACAGUUGCUGGCGACCGGCAAACGGGUGCGGAACACGUACGCAAUCUACCCGAAACUGGGGCAUAGCCCGGGGAAACCCGGAUUAAUACCCCGUAACACUUUGAAGUGGCAUCACUUUAUAGUUAUAGCUCCGGCGGUUUUGGCUGAGCGUGCGGCGUAUUAGGUAGUUGGCGGGGUAACGGCCCACCAAGCCUGCGAUCAGUAACUGGUGUGAGAGCACGACCAGUCACACGGGCACUGAGACACGGGCCCGACUCCUACGGGAGGCAGCAGUAAGGAAUAUUGGUCAAUGGACGCAAGUCUGAACCAGCCAUGCCGCGUGGAGGAUGAAGGCCCUCUGGGUUGUAAACUUCUUUUAUAGGGGACGAAACCUCUUUUUCUUGAGAGACUGACGGUACCCUAGGAAUAAGCACCGGCUAACUCCGUGCCAGCAGCCGCCGUAAUAC
rnacentral:rRNA from 1 species